UGUUGACGCACGUUGUCUCCCUUCUGCAAAAUGGAGCAGGUUGUCAGCAAAUUGCGGGCGCUCAUGCGAUGGUCGGCCGAGCCGAGUUGAUAGCGUGAAUUAGAACAGAAUUUGAUUGUACUAGGUUCCGUAGUUGCCAGCUUUACAAGUUGGGCCUUAUUCGUCAUUCCAAAAAAGAAAUGGAUGAAACGAAAGCAGAUAGGGUCUUCAUAUCACUCUUCUCCUCUCGCGAAAGCAAACCCAAGCAUCCUCCAACGCGACCGCUGCCUUCGGUCUUGUCACUGUGGCUGUCAGUGGCACUCGAGAUCCGCUUCUGUUGGGCGUGGUCAAGGUUAUCUCCCCGUUCGCAAAUCACCAUUCUUCGUCAUAGAUCAUCGUUGUUACUGUGUUCAGUAGCACUCUGCACGGCGUUUCUCGUUGUGCUCGUCAUUCGCUGUGAGUCGAAGAGUCCCUUGAAUUCUAUGGCUCCUCGCCAUGAUGGAUUUUUUGGAACUUAGCAAAGCAUUCAUGGGCUGCGUCUAAACUACAUAACCCUGAGUGCAGGAUGAGCUUGAUCCUCUGUUCCAUGGCAGUAGUUCUAGAAAUACUUAGAAGACAACUCUCUCUAAAUGUUAUGUUGCUUUUUGCACUGUUGUUUAUUUUUGGCAGCACAAUAAUUGGGAAAGAAUUCUUCUUCGCCUAUCGAAGUAAAGAUAAUGUGGAAAAUCAGUGCUAGUAUGCUGGAAAUCAAGACAUUCAAUUUCGCACAAGCAAGAUGCAGAAAUUGUUCAAGUCCCAUAACUUGAACAGAUACAAGGACGUGAAUUUUCAUGGUGGAUACACAAUUGGGUCCCUUGAAGCAAUUUACACAUCAAGUAUGUGAUCUGCAGUGAAAUUAAUAUAUAGAGACUGACCAGAUUUUGGACUAAAAAUCAAAUGUCAUCCACAGCUCUUCUCUGAAGAUUGUGUUCGUUGUCGUAUUAAUAGUUUAUGUACAGCGAUUAAAGUAUUUUGAUAUGAAUCCAACACAAGCAAGAGCUGAGAUAAAUACAUGAUGGGUUACAUAAUACUUAGCAAUAUUAGCAA